CUACCUCUAACUCGGGGAUAACAUCGCGAAAGUGAUGCUAAUACCGGAUGAUAUCUAAUUUGCUUCGGCAGUUUAGGUCAAGGGUGGCCUCUAUAUAUAAGCUACUGAUUGGAGAUGAGCCCGCGUACCAUUAGCUUGUUGGUAGGGUAAUGGCCUACCAAGGCAACGAUGGUUAGCUGGUCUGAGAGGAUGAUCAGCCACACUGGAACUGACACACGGUCCAG
rnacentral:rRNA from 1 species